rnacentral:rRNA from 1 species
UGCCAGCAGCCGCGGUAAUACGGAGGGUCCAAGCGUUAUCCGGAUUUAUUGGGUUUAAAGGGUCCGUAGGCGGGAAAAUAAGUCAGUGGUGAAAGCCUGCAGCUUAACUGCAGAACUGCCAUUGAAACUGUUUUUCUUGAGUAUAGAUGAAGUGGGCGGAAUGUAUCAUGUAGCGGUGAAAUGCAUAGAUAUGAUACAGAACACCGAUUGCGAAGGCAGCUCACUAAACUAUUACUGACGCUGAGGGACGAAAGCGUGGGGAGCGAACAGGAUUAGAUA